rnacentral:lncRNA from 1 species
GGCGCGGGGCCGGGCGGAGCGCGGGGAGGCUGCGGCCGGAGCGGGGCCGGGCCGGGCCCUCCGCCGCUCAUGGCCCUGCCCGGGGCCCGUUCCGCCCGCCCGGCGCCCGGCGAGAGCCCGGCCCUGAGCCCGCAGCGCCGCCGGUGCGUCCGGGGGGCUCCGCCGGAGGGGGGGCCGGGCGGGCGGGAGCCGCCGGUGCGUCCCGGGGGAGCGGGAGCGGGGGAUGGGGCACCGGGGGAGCUCCGCCCGCCCCGAGCACGGGCACAGCCCGGCCCUGAGCCCGCAGCGCCGCCGCGAGCGGAGCAGAGCGGCCCCGGCCCCCGCGGAAAAGCCCUGAGGGAGGCGGGAGCCGGCGGCGAGGAGGAGGAGGAGGAGGAAGAGGAGGAGGAGGAGGAAGCGAGGGAAGGAGCCGGGGGAAAACAGGAGCGGGAAGAGCUCGGAGCGGAGCCCGGGAGCGGCCGGAGCGCGCCGGUGAGUGCAGAGUGUCCCCGUGUCCCCGGGGUGUCCCUGUCCGUGUCCCCCUGUGCCUCUGGGUGUCCCCGUGUCCCUCUGGGUGUCCUCCUGUCCCUGCGUGUGUCCCUCUGUUCCUGUCCGUGUCCCCCUGUCCCUUUGGGUGUCCCCUCUGUCCCUCUGGGUGUCCCUGUCCGUGUCCCUGUGUCCCCCUGGGUGUCCCUCUGUUCCCCUGUCUGUCCCCCUGUUCCUCUGGGUGUCCCUCUGGGUGUCCCUGUCCCAGUCCGUGUCCCUGUAUCCCCCUGGGUGUCCCUGUCCAUGUCCCUGUGUCCCCCUGGGUGUCCCUGUCCGUGUCCCCCUGUCCCUCUGUCUGUCCAUCCCCCGGCGGUCCCACCCUGCCAAGCUCAGCCUGGGGAGGACAGCGGGAGCCCACGGGGUGGGGUGGGGGGGUGACAUUCCCAGUGACACUCCCAACCCCCAUCCUGCCCCCCACAAUUUGCGGCGAGGAGCAGCCUGAACCCUCCCCAAGAACCUUCCCGUCCCUUGUCCCUCUGUCCCCGCAGGAGGACAGCCGGACACCGGACCCGCCACCCCUCCUCCUCGGCGACACCCGCUGGAAUUCCGCUUCCGAACAAACCCUCUCCUCCUCUUCCUCCUCCUCCUCCUCCUCCUCCUGCCGCCGCCACCAGCGGUGUCACCGCAGGGCCACCGGCGGAGCGUCCCCGCAUGGUGCAGCAGCGGCGGCGGCGUUAAGAUGGUGAGAGCUGGCCGGGCCGGGCCGGGCGGGGAGGAUGAGCAGCGGCACCGGCAGCACCGGCAGCACCGGCAGCACCGGCAGCACCGGCAGCACCG